GCUAACUUCGUGCCAGCAGCCGCGGUAAUACGAAGGGGGCUAGCGUUGCUCGGAAUUACUGGGCGUAAAGGGCGCGUAGGCGGAUAUUUAAGUCAGGGGUGAAAGCCCGGGGCUCAACCUCGGAAUUGCCUUUGAUACUGGAUAUCUUGAGUUCGGGAGAGGUGAGUGGAAUGCCGAGUGUAGAGGUGAAAUUCGUAGAUAUUCGGCGGAACACCAGUGGCGAAGGCGACUCACUGGCCCGAUACUGACGCUGAGGCGCGAAAGCGUGGGGAGCAAACAGGAUUAGAUACCCCGGUAGUC
rnacentral:rRNA from 1 species